rnacentral:rRNA from 1 species
GACACUGACACUGAGGUGCGAAAGCGUGGGUAGCAAACAGGAUUAGAUACCCUGGUAGUCCACGCCGUAAACGAUGUCGACUAGCCGUUGGGAGCCUCGAGUUCUUAGUGGCGCAGUUAACGCGAUAAGUCGACCGCCUGGGGAGUACGGCCGCAAGGUUAAAACUCAAAUGAAUUGACGGGGGCCCGCACAAGCGGUGGAGCAUGUGGUUUAAUUCGAUGCAACGCGAAGAACCUUACCUACCCUUGACAUCUUCGGAAGCCGAGAGAGAUCUUGGUGUGCCUUCGGGAACCGAAAGACAGGUGCUGCAUGGCUGUCGUCAGCUCGUGUUGUGAAAUGUUGGGUUAAGUCCCGUAACGAGCGCAACCCCUGUCCCUAUUUGCCAGCGAUUCGGUCGGGAACUCUAGGGAGACUGCCGGUGACAAACCGGAGGAAGGUGGGGACGACGUCAAGUCAUCAUGGCCCUUACGGGUAGGGCUACACACGUGCUACAAUGGCAGGUACAAAGGGUUGCAAGACGGCGACGUGGAGCUAAUCCCAUAAAGCCUGCCUCAGUCCGGAUCGGAGUCUGCAACUCGACUCCGUGAAGUCGGAAUCGCUAGUAAUCGUGAAUCAGAAUGUCACGGUGAAUACGUUCCCGGGCCUUGUACACACCGCCCGUCACACCAUGGGAGUGGACUGCACCAGAAGUGGUU